rnacentral:rRNA from 1 species
GGAUCGAACACGUCGGAGCAAGGGGGGCAAGGAACCGGGGAGGACGGAGGCCCGCCGUUCUAGGUUCCAGACCUCGGCCUCCGUUAAGGGGGGGUUGACGUUUGUUUUAGCGCCGAGCGUUCUUGUUCUUAUUUUCAGGCUAGAAAGGAAAGGAGCACGGCGGUGGUGGGGCGUAGAUGAAGGAGCGGUGGGGUGGGGUGGGGCUCGACUAGCCACAAGUCGACCUAAUAGGUCCGGGGCCAGCUAUUUUGGCUACGAAGAGGUCGGAGCGAUUGGGAUCGUCGUCGUCGGAGGCACGCGGAACCCGGGCGGCGGUACAGAACCGACCUCUACACCGACGGCCGGCGCCGGCUCCCCCGCCGCCGCCCCGACAAGGAGCUGCGGCCGCUGCGCCGCCGCGUGCCGCGCGAGGAGCGCCGGUACGGGCCGACGAGCCGGAGGAAGCCGCACGGCGCCGCCGCCGCACCCUCCCGCGGCGGCCCCAAGGAGAGCUACUGCUACAGCCAGUUCCCCCCGUCCCCCAAGCGCGGGCGGGGCCACCCCGACGAGUGCCCGCCCCUGCUGUUCCCGCCUCCCCACCUCCAGCGCCUCCCCGACCACCGGCCCUCCCCGCGCCUCCCCCACCACGACCACCUCCGGCUGCCCUUCGACUGCCUCCUCCUCCGAGUAAGACCUCGGCCGCGGUACUUGUGGUGGUUCGUAGAGACCAGACCUCGGCAGCGGCGGUACCAGAGGUCUUGUCAACAACGAGGAGAACUUUCCGAUUUCAACCUCAUAUAUCAAGCACCACUCGUCUCCUUAGACAAACUCGAAUAGGUUCGCUAACGUUGUUGCCUUCCUGACUUUCCGAAAACCUUUCCCUUAAACCAGUUAUAGGAGGCAUGACGAGGUAAGUUCCGCCACUUGAAGAUACGUAUACUGUCAAUGUCUUUCGUUGAAGAGUUUACCAGACCAUUACUUCUUUGUUGGUUAGAACUCUCUAAAUAACGACCACGAAGACGACCACAAUGUCGUUGCUAUUACACAUAUGGGUACCUAUGUUAAUCCUGUUUCUACCAUCGAGGACCACCACUUCGUAAUCCACCCCAAUAACCACAACGGGCGGUGUACUAGGUCUGACUUCCCAACAAGAGUGACAUGUUCCCUAAUCACGGAAGAGAAUAAUCGUACCGUGGGAGACCGCGACAUAAGAUGCCCCACAUACUGUAUGACUUCUACCGAAUAGACGUAAGGGGGCUUCCUUUCUCCUCCUAUAGUUACUACUUUGUUGUUCCAGUUCUUCGUUUACGUAAUCUAGUCGAACUCAACCCGUGACAAUCCUGGAAUGAGAUACCCCGGUAGCGACCUACGACACGACUCCGUCGGUGUAUGGGAAAACUUCAUCAAUCCUCUGUCGAUGUCAACGUUCAGUUUCGUUGUUUCUACUUACGUGAGCGUUGUACGGAUUUUUAACAACUAUUUCCUCCUCAUGGUCGUGAGAUGCAACCGAACUAGGGGUCGAACAAUGUCCAAGACGGUAGCCGUAGAUAGUCGAUAAAACAUAUGCUCGAUUACUUCUAUCAGGACUUUCACCUUACUCACGUUCAACUAAGAAACACGGUUACAUCGUUCAAGUCCUCUGAGUCGACUGUAGUGGAACCAUUUUCAACGUUCGUUAGCAGCUAAAUGGUCACGUAGAUCGUGUAAAAGAAAAAAGAUCAUCCGAAUGAGGUGCUUUCGAAGUCUCCGACACUCACAUCGAAGUAAAACCAGUUUCGUAAUAAGUAAACUUCGAAACGUCAGUGUUAUAAUCCAGUAGGCACGGAGAAAGAGAACGAGUAGAUAUCGUCUAACUCGACACCGGCUCACUUUUGUACGAGAACUCUUGACUACAAGGGGAGGACCGAGUUGAGUUCAGUCGGCACGUCUGCAAUAUAGGACGAAACAAAUCUAAACGUGACCGAAUGACGACUAAUUACCAGAUGGAGGUAAAGCUGCUAGGUAAAAGGUAAACCAGAUAAUACACUUCUGUGUGUUACAAAUCCGGAAAAACCAAAAAUCCUUAACUCGUUUC